rnacentral:tRNA from 1 species
GCCGUCGUAGCUCAUCUGGGAGAGCGCGGUCCUGGUACGACCGAGGUGGUCAGUUCGAGUCUGACCGAUGGCUC